rnacentral:lncRNA from 1 species
CGUCUGCUCCUCCCCUGAUCGCCGUGGAUCCUCGCGCGCCGGGCGCGUCUGGCCCCCUCCUCCGUUGCGCCCCGCGGGGACAUUCACGAGCGCGCGCACCUCCUCGCACAGAGGAACCCGGGGUUGGGAGGCUCCGAGCGAGCUGCGAUUGGCUGACGUGGAGGCUGCGCGUCUGGCCUGAGAAACUCUGGGCGAGAGCGCAGAGUCUGCUCCCGGGGCUGUGCAGGGCGCAUCUCAGCCUCAAAUCUUGGCGCAAAAACCAGAGACAUUGCCAGAGCAAACAAGAACAGAAGUGCAAAUGGAGGACUGGUCAAAAGGGCUUUCUUCACCAUUUACCAACCACACUGUUACCUUUUUCAGAAGGUUAAAGGCCAUCUGAGGGAACUCUUCUGUCAUCCUUGAACUAAAUCAGUUAAUAGCUACACAUUCUUUUGAGAUACAGAAAGAUGCUGCACUGAGUAUAUCUUUUUUGAUUU